GUAGGGCGGGACACGUGGUAUCCUGUCUGAAUAUGGGGGGACCAUCCUCCAAGGCUAAAUACUCCUGACUGACCGAUAGUGAACCAGUACCGUGAGGGAAAGGCGAAAAGAACCCCGGCGAGGGGAGUGAAAAAGAACCUGAAACCGUGUACGUACAAGCAGUGGGAGCACCUUCGUGGUGUGACUGCGUACCUUUUGUAUAAUGGGUCAGCGACUUAUAUUCUGUAGCAAGGUUAACCGUAUAGGGGAGCCGAAGGGAAACCGAGUCUUAACUGGGCGUUAAGUUGCAGGGUAUAGACCCGAAACCCGGUGAUCUAGCCAUGGGCAGGUUGAAGGUUGGGUAACACUAACUGGAGGACCGAACCGACUAAUGUUGAAAAAUUAGCGGAUGACUUGUGGCUGGGGGUGAAAGGCCAAUCAAACCGGGAGAUAGCUGGUUCUCCCCGAAAGCUAUUUAGGUAGCGCCUCGUGAACUCAUCUUCGGGGGUAGAGCACUGUUUCGGCUAGGGGGCCAUCCCGGCUUACCAACCCGAUGCAAACUACGAAUACCGAAGAAUGUUAUCACGGGAGACACACGGCGGGUGCUAACGUCCGUCGUGAAGAGGGAAACAACCCAGACCGCCAGCUAAGGUCCCAAAGUCAUGGUUAAGUGGGAAACGAUGUGGGAAGGCACAGACAGCCAGGAUGUUGGCUUAGAAGCAGCCAUCAUUUAAAGAAAGCGUAAUAGCUCACUGGUCGAGUCGGCCUGCGCGGAAGAUGUAACGGGGCUAAACCAUGCACCGAAGCUGCGGCAGCGACACUAUGUGUUGUUGGGUAGGGGAGCGUUCUGUAAGCCGUUGAAGGUGUGCUGUGAGGCAUGCUGGAGGUAUCAGAAGUGCGAAUGCUGACAUAAGUAACGAUAAAGCGGGUGAAAAGCCCGCUCGCCGGAAGACCAAGGGUUCCUGUCCAACGUUAAUCGGGGCAGGGUGAGUCGACCCCUAAGGCGAGGCCGAAAGGCGUAGUCGAUGGGAAACAGGUUAAUAUUCCUGUACUUGGUGUUACUGCGAAGGGGGGACGGAGAAGGCUAUGUUAGCCGGGCGACGGUUGUCCCGGUUUAAGCAUGUAGGCGGAACGACCAGGUAAAUCCGGUCGUUUAUUAACGCUGAGGUGUGAUGACGAGGCACUACGGUGCUGAAGUAACAAAUGCCCUGCUUCCAGGAAAAGCCUCUAAGCAUCAGGUAACAUCAAAUCGUACCCCAAACCGACACAGGUGGUCAGGUAGAGAAUACCAAGGCGCUUGAGAGAACUCGGGUGAAGGAACUAGGCAAAAUGGUGCCGUAACUUCGGGAGAAGGCACGCUGAUAUGUAGGUGAAGCCCCUGCGGGUGGAGCUGAAAUCAGUCGAAGAUACCAGCUGGCUGCAACUGUUUAUUAAAAACACAGCACUGUGCAAACACGAAAGUGGACGUAUACGGUGUGACGCCUGCCCGGUGCCGGAAGGUUAAUUGAUGGGGUUAGCGGCAACGCGAAGCUCUUGAUCGAAGCCCCGGUAAACGGCGGCCGUAACUAUAACGGUCCUAAGGUAGCGAAAUUCCUUGUCGGGUAAGUUCCGACCUGCACGAAUGGCGUAAUGAUGGCCAGGCUGUCUCCACCCGAGACUCAGUGAAAUUGAACUCGCUGUGAAGAUGCAGUGUACCCGCGGCAAGACGGAAAGACCCCGUGAACCUUUACUAUAGCUUGACACUGAACACUGGUCCUUGAUGUGUAG
rnacentral:rRNA from 1 species